AUAAACGCAAUGAAUGGAAGUAGUAAGGAUUGUCACGGGAAAUCAGAGAGCUGCGGGGGGGUGCAACGCAGUCGAACGUGAGCCUGAACUCGUCCGGGAGCGGAACGGUGGAAGAAGCUGUAUCUACAAGCUAUAGAACAGCAUUCAUUACACGGUUACGAUUCAUCCUCGUGAACGGAUGUGCUGGAAGUCGUUAUUUUGGCGGCAACAGCAUGGAGUGGGUAGGGUUGACGCCUUGCCAACGAGAGUGGUACCGCGACGGUUUAGGCCUGUCGUCUCUUGA
rnacentral:ncRNA from 1 species